rnacentral:rRNA from 1 species
GGCGGACGGGUGAGUAACGCGUGGGUAACCUGCCUCAUACAGGGGGAUAACAGUUAGAAAUGGCUGCUAAUACCGCAUAAGCGCACAGGACCGCAUGGUCUGGUGUGAAAAACUCCGGUGGUAUGGGAUGGACCCGCGUUGGAUUAGCUAGUUGGUGGGGUAACGGCCUACCAAGGCGACGAUCCAUAGCCGGCCUGAGAGGGUGGACGGCCACAAGGGGACUGAGACACGGCCCUUACUCCUACGGGAGGCAGCAGUGGGGAAUAUUGGACAAUGGACCAAAAGUCUGAUCCAGCAAUUCUGUGUGCACGAUGAAGUUUUUCGGAAUGUAAAGUGCUUUCAGUUGGGAAGAAGAAAGUGACGGUACCAACAGAAGAAGCGACGGCUAAAUACGUGCCAGCAGCCGCGGUAAUACGUAUGUCGCAAGCGUUAUCCGGAUUUAUUGGGCGUAAAGCGCGUCUAGGCGGUUUGGUAAGUCUGAUGUGAAAAUGCGGGGCUCAACUUCGUAUUGCGUUGGAAACUGCCAAACUAGAGUACUGGAGAGGUAGGCGGAACUACAAGUGUAGAGGUGAAAUUCGUAGAUAUUUGUAGGAAUGCCGAUGGGGAAGCCAGCCUACUGGACAGAUACUGACGCUAAAGCGCGAAAGCGUGGGUAGCAAACAGGAUUAGAUACCCUGGUAGUCCACGCCGUAAACGAUGAUUACUAGGUGUUGGGGGUCGAACCUCAGCGCCCAAGCUAACGCGAUAAGUAAUCCGCCUGGGGAGUACGUACGCAAGUAUGAAACUCAAAGGAAUUGACGGGGGCCCGCACAAGUAGCGGAGCAUGUGGUUUAAUUCGAAGCAACGCGAAGAACCUUACCUAGGCUUGACAUCCUUCUGACCGAGGACUAAUCUCCUCUUUCCCUCCGGGGACAGAAGUGACAGGUGGUGCAUGGUUGUCGUCAGCUCGUGUCGUGAGAUGUUGGGUUAAGUCCCGCAACGAGCGCAACCCUUGUCUUUAGUUGCCAUCAUUAAGUUGGGCACUCUAGAGAGACUGCCAGGGAUAACCUGGAGGAAGGUGGGGAUGACGUCAAAUCAUCAUGCCCCUUAUGCCUAGGGCUACACACGUGCUACAAUGGGUGGUACAGAGGGCAGCCAAACCGUGAGGUGGAGCAAAUCCCUUAAAGCCAUUCUCAGUUCGGAUUGUAGGCUGAAACUCGCCUACAUGAAGCUGGAGUUACUAGUAAUCGCAGAUCAGAAUGCUGCGGUGAAUGCGUUCCCGGGUCUUGCACUCACCGCCCGUCA